GAGCCGGACAAUUGAACUGCUAACUCCAACGUCCGGAGAUAAAACUCCGGCCGGCCCA
rnacentral:tRNA from 1 species